ACGAAGGGGGCUAGCGUUGCUCGGAAUUACUGGGCGUAAAGCGCACGUAGGCGGUCUUUUAAGUCGGGGGUGAAAUCCUGGAGCUCAACUCCAGAACUGCCUCCGAUACUGGAAGACUUGAGUCCGGGAGAGGUGAGUGGAACUGCGAGUGUAGAGGUGAAAUUCGUAGAUAUUCGGAAGAACACCAGUGGCGAAGGCGACCUACUGGACACAUAUUGACGCUGAGGUGCGAAAGCGUGGGGAGCAAACAGGA
rnacentral:rRNA from 1 species